AGACUAGACAGAACUAUCACAGAGGACACUGAAAGACCUCAUUUAGCAUAUUACAACACCAGCAGUUGCAAUAGUCAAUAUGCCUGGCAAACCCUUAUCACUUAUGAUGCCUGCAUACGCUUGUGCCUGCAAGCAUGGGCAAGAGGCUGCACUGAGGCACCGGAGUUUUUGAAAGAUGAGUGCCUGGCUCUUCGAAGUGCCUUUGGAGGCAGUAAAGUUGAUGAUGACUUGUUCCAUAAUGGAUCUUCACAAAAUUCCAUCAGCAUUCAACUGCCACUAAGUUCCAAUUUCUUUGGUUUCAUUUUCUACUUGGCUCCUGAUGAUGAUGACCAGAAUGCAAAUCUGGAAGUUAAGUUCUUUGCUCGGCUACCAAAUAAGGAGGAAGUGGUGAUAAAAGAGUGUGGCAUCCGUUGGAUAUACACAAACAUGGAGAAGGAAUCAAGAGGAGAAACAGGGGUGUUUUUGAGUUAGAAGCCAUUGCAUCUCCAAAUGAAGAAAAGGGGUUCGAAUCUGAUGAUGAAGGGGAAGAACUAGUUCCUCCAGCAAAGAAAUUUAAGCAUAGCUUAAUGGAAGUUGAAUCAGUAGAAAACUUGAGAUAAGGUUCAAGCAAACUCAGAUCAGGCUAUGGUUUGGAAUCAGCUCAAAGCAGGAUCCUUCCAAUACCACCCUCCUCCUCCCUUAUGUGAUGUGAUGAGAGAAUAAAGAUUAAUGUACCUCCAGAUACCAUGUAGUAGUGCUUUGUGUUUGUUGAAGAGAAGGUUAUAUAUAUAGAUAUUAGAUUAGAUAGGAACAAUGAAAGCGUUUUGUAUGGAAAUAAUUGCUUCUUAUUAUAAAGAAAGCGUUUUGUACUCACGGGUGUGUU